rnacentral:misc_RNA from 1 species
GAUGAAGAACGUAGUGAAAUGCGAUAAGUAGUGUGAAUUGCAGAAUUCAGUGAAUCAUCGAAUCUUUGAACGCACAUUGCGCCCUCUGGUAUUCCGGGGGGCAUGCCUGUCCGAGCGUCAUUUGCAACCCUCAAGCCCGGCUUGUGUGAUGGGUGCCGUCCCCUACGGGACGCGCCCCGAAGGCAAUGGCGGCGUCGCGGUUAUCCGAUCAGCCAAAGUGUAUGGGGCUUUGUCACUCACUUUACGGCCCGGACCGGCGCCAGUCCGAAUCAAUCUUUUUUCUAAAGUUGACCUCGGAUCAGGUAGGGAUACCCGCUGAACUUAAGCAUAUCAAUAAGCGGAGGA